rnacentral:tRNA from 1 species
GAGCAGAUAGCACAGCAUGGUAACGCGAUCGUCUGAAACACGAUUGGUCUCGGGUUCAAAUCCCGACCUGUCCACAA